UACUCUAUGGCUCUAUGAACAUGUCGCACCACUGGCGAGGUUUCUUGGUGCAAAACACAGAGGAUGGUGCAAAUGAACCAUCACGGUGGUGGUGUGCUGCGUGACUUUCUGCGAAUCAUGGCAAGGGAAGACUCCUGAUUACUUUUCACGAGUUCCCAGUGACCGAGGUCCGUGAAAACUGAAUCAAGGUGCCUUUCUCCAGGCAUUAAAACCAGCACACGUGGUUUAAUAGCUAGAUUUCUAGUGAAGGCUGCAGAAGACUCGCUGACGCAUCAUCAGUGCAUCGACAAAAGCAUGGCCCCACGCUCUUCAGGUCGUGCAACUGCAGUCGUCUAUAACAUGGACAGAGGCGGAUUGUUGUACCCUUGACAGAAAUUCGUUACUUUUCUAUGCGAGCUGGAUGAAACCGCUGAAGCGUUCGCCCCACUGUCUAUUCACCUAGAAAAACCAAAGGCGCGGUUUGUUGCAACUGUCCUGCCAGCAACUACACAAAACUCCUUGUUUUAACACGAAGGCUCUACAGAAGAACACGUAACAAGCUUCACUAUGCUUCUUCUGCACAAAUUUAGCCGUUCGUUUUCGCUAACUACAUGGCAAACAAAACGGAAAAAAGAAGCAUGCAAGAGAGUACAACCAUGCAUGCCAAAAAACCGAGCUCCAGGAAGAUGCUGAGGGUGUAGCAGGCGAUAUUUGUAAGUUUUCAAGGUCCCUUAAGCAGCCUCCAAUAUUUUUUUUAGCAUUUUGAAAACAUGUGCCUCGAGUUGAGAAUAUUGUCACGAUGAACAAUGCCCAAUUCGACAGCACCAACCCGCUAAAGCUUCGUCAUGACGUCAACAUCGUGGUGUGCUCGAGCCAUUCAAAAAAGAAACCUAGCUGUUUGCAAGCAGGUUUGCUCACUGCUGAUGGUGACCGGUGGGGCUUUAUGUCCCGGAACCACUAUAUAUUACAAGGGACGUCGUAGGGUUCUGGAAAUUUUCACCAUUUCGUGUUCCCCAAAAUAUGAGAGGUGCACGCUCUCGCCGCUCUUGUUCCUUGUACAGCGAGGAAACGCACGAGGGAGAACGCGUCUAAUUCCGCCAUUAAGUCACCGUUUCGAAAAAUUUUCAUGGUCAUGAGUCAAUUUGUUGUAGGCUCUUGCAUGUGCAACUCCACAAUAAAAUCUCGACCUCUGAGGUACGGUUUAGCGGAUCUUAGGGACAAAUUCUGUUAAACUGUCAGGAAUGCAAUCCGUUGUCAAGAAAGCUCAGUAGAUUUUAUUUUUGUUUGUGAAAACCCCCAAAGUUGUAUGCUCCUUUUUAUUAUUCCAGAGGAAGGUAUCUUGCAGACUGGAAAUAUAUCUAAAUUUUCGUUUCUGCAAGAUAAGCUUGCUGUCUUUAAGAAUGAAGAACCGAUUCUUGCUCAAAAAAUGCUGCGCAGGUUCAGUAUCUGGCAGCAUAAAAACGCAAAUGAGUCGUUCUUUCCAACAGAUAUAAUCUUUUUUACUCAUUUGCACCACAGGAUGUGCCACUAAAAAGUGCUGAAUAAUUGAUUUUAAGUGCUGUUUCGUUUCGAAACAGUUGCAGAGUGUCUUUCAUUGAUUAUUCAUGUACCUGCGAUCUACAGCUGCCAUUUGGGACGAAGGUAUUUAUGUGCAAAAUUAUCUGUAUUGGGUUGUUUUCUAUGCGUGCUGGAUGCCACGGCCAAUGUCAAAUGUCAUAGUCCUCGCCCUUUCUUGCCCAGACAGCAAAUGCAAACCAGCUCACUGUACGCCUACGGCAACAAGUCUACCAUUGUAUACACAUAUAUCUGGUAUCAUGACUUAAAUAAACAUUUGGUGGUCAGCUCCUCUUA